rnacentral:rRNA from 1 species
GGGUUGUGAGGUUAAGCGACUAAGCGUACACGGUGGAUGCCCUGGCAGUCAGAGGCGAUGAAGGGCGUGCUAAUCUGCGAUAAGCGCCGGUAAGGUGAUAUGAACCGUUAUAACCGGCGAUACCCGAAUGGGGAAACCCAGUGUGACUCGUCACACUAUCAUUAACUGAAUCCAUAGGUUAAUGAGGCGAACCGGGGGAACUGAAACAUCUAAGUACCCCGAGGAAAAGAAAUCAACCGAGAUUCCCCCAGUAGCGGCGAGCGAACGGGGAGGAGCCCAGAGCCUGAAUCAGCAUGUGUGUUAGUGGAAGCGUCUGGAAAGUCGCGCGAUACAGGGUGACAGCCCCGUACACAAAAGCGCAUGUGUUGUGAGCUCGAUGAGUAGGGCGGGACACGUGGUAUCCUGUCUGAAUAUGGGGGGACCAUCCUCCAAGGCUAAAUACUCCUGACUGACCGAUAGUGAACCAGUACCGUGAGGGAAAGGCGAAAAGAACCCCGGCGAGGGGAGUGAAAAAGAACCUGAAACCGUGUACGUACAAGCAGUGGGAGCCCCACCACCAAAGCAUUCUCUGGUGUUGAAGGCCCUGCAAAGCAGCAUCGCGGUGGCGGAGCGUCGUUUGCGACGCCCAACACAAAAAACAAGCGGUGAGUGCUUUGGGGUGGGGUGACUGCGUACCUUUUGUAUAAUGGGUCAGCGACUUAUAUUCUGUAGCAAGGUUAACCGAAUAGGGGAGCCGUAGGGAAACCGAGUCUUAACUGGGCGUUAAGUUGCAGGGUAUAGACCCGAAACCCGGUGAUCUAGCCAUGGGCAGGUUGAAGGUUGGGUAACACUAACUGGAGGACCGAACCGACUAAUGUUGAAAAAUUAGCGGAUGACCUGUGGCUGGGGGUGAAAGGCCAAUCAAACCGGGAGAUAGCUGGUUCUCCCCGAAAGCUAUUUAGGUAGCGCCUCGUGAAUUCAUCUCCGGGGGUAGAGCACUGUUUCGGCUAGGGGGCCAUCCCGGCUUACCAACCCGAUGCAAACUGCGAAUACCGGAGAAUGUUAUCACGGGAGACACACGGCGGGUGCUAACGUCCGUCGUGAAGAGGGAAACAACCCAGACCGCCAGCUAAGGUCCCAAAGUCAUGGUUAAGUGGGAAACGAUGUGGGAAGGCCCAGACAGCCAGGAUGUUGGCUUAGAAGCAGCCAUCAUUUAAAGAAAGCGUAAUAGCUCACUGGUCGAGUCGGCCUGCGCGGAAGAUGUAACGGGGCUAAACCAUGCACCGAAGCUGCGGCAGCGACGCUGAUGCGUUGUUGGGUAGGGGAGCGUUCUGUAAGCCUGCGAAGGUGGCCUGUGAGGGUUGCUGGAGGUAUCAGAAGUGCGAAUGCUGACAUAAGUAACGAUAAAGCGGGUGAAAAGCCCGCUCGCCGGAAGACCAAGGGUUCCUGUCCAACGUUAAUCGGGGCAGGGUGAGUCGACCCCUAAGGCGAGGCCGAAAGGCGUAGUCGAUGGGAAACGGGUUAAUAUUCCCGUACUUGGUGUUACUGCGAAGGGGGGACGGAGAAGGCUAUGUUGGCCGGGCGACGGUUGUCCCGGUUUAAGCGUGUAGGUGUGUGUUCCAGGUAAAUCCGGUUCACUUUAACACUGAGGCGUGACGACGAGGCACUACGGUGCUGAAGCAACAAAUGCCCUGCUUCCAGGAAAAGCCUCUAAGCAUCAGGUAACAUCAAAUCGUACCCCAAACCGACACAGGUGGUCAGGUAGAGAAUACCAAGGCGCUUGAGAGAACUCGGGUGAAGGAACUAGGCAAAAUGGUGCCGUAACUUCGGGAGAAGGCACGCUGACACGUAGGUGAAGUGAUUUACUCAUGGAGCUGAAGUCAGUCGAAGAUACCAGCUGGCUGCAACUGUUUAUUAAAAACACAGCACUGUGCAAACACGAAAGUGGACGUAUACGGUGUGACGCCUGCCCGGUGCCGGAAGGUUAAUUGAUGGGGUCAGCGCAAGCGAAGCUCCUGAUCGAAGCCCCGGUAAACGGCGGCCGUAACUAUAACGGUCCUAAGGUAGCGAAAUUCCUUGUCGGGUAAGUUCCGACCUGCACGAAUGGCGUAAUGAUGGCCAGGCUGUCUCCACCCGAGACUCAGUGAAAUUGAACUCGCUGUGAAGAUGCAGUGUACCCGCGGCAAGACGGAAAGACCCCGUGAACCUUUACUAUAGCUUGACACUGAACAUUGAGCCUUGAUGUGUAGGAUAGGUGGGAGGCUUUGAAGUGUGGACGCCAGUCUGCAUGGAGCCGACCUUGAAAUACCACCCUUUAAUGUUUGAUGUUCUAACGUGGACCCGUUACCCGGGUUGCGGACAGUGUCUGGUGGGUAGUUUGACUGGGGCGGUCUCCUCCUAAAGAGUAACGGAGGAGCACGAAGGUUGGCUAAUCCUGGUCGGACAUCAGGAGGUUAGUGCAAUGGCAUAAGCCAGCUUGACUGCGAGCGUGACGGCGCGAGCAGGUGCGAAAGCAGGUCAUAGUGAUCCGGUGGUUCUGAAUGGAAGGGCCAUCGCUCAACGGAUAAAAGGUACUCCGGGGAUAACAGGCUGAUACCGCCCAAGAGUUCAUAUCGACGGCGGUGUUUGGCACCUCGAUGUCGGCUCAUCACAUCCUGGGGCUGAAGUAGGUCCCAAGGGUAUGGCUGUUCGCCAUUUAAAGUGGUACGCGAGCUGGGUUUAGAACGUCGUGAGACAGUUCGGUCCCUAUCUGCCGUGGGCGCUGGAGAACUGAGGGGGGCUGCUCCUAGUACGAGAGGACCGGAGUGGACGCAUCACUGGUGUUCGGGUUGUCAUGCCAAUGGCACUGCCCGGUAGCUAAAUGCGGAAGAGAUAAGUGCUGAAAGCAUCUAAGCACGAAACUUGCCCCGAGAUGAGUUCUCCCUGAGACUUAGAGUCUCCUGAAGGAACGUUGAAGACGACGACGUUGAUAGGCCGGGUGUGUAAGCGCAGCGAUGCGUUGAGCUAACCGGUACUAAUGAACCGUGAGGCUUAACCUUACAACGCCGAAG